UUUUCAUUGCCAACAGAUCGAUACUCUUUGGGUCCGUGAAAUAGAAGUGAAUUAAGAAUGAAUGGACAAAGGGAUAAGGUGAAGCUUUUGGAUGCAAAACAGUCCGCUAUAAGUGCUUAUUUGGACUGCCACUGAGGUUUAACCAAAAGAGCUAUUAUGUUGAUAGUGCUAUCUGUUUUCAGGGUGAAUCACCUGUGAGGUACGAAAAAACGGACGUAUGGGCGGUCGGUGGAUAAGUCUGGAUGAUUUGGGUUUAGAUUGAGCAACUUAUUACUGGGAAUGAAAGUUUGGCGUACAAUGCAACUUUGGGAGUAGAGAAGAAGAACUUUGGACAUCAAGUAGCAACUAUUUUAUUGGUGAUACUUGGAGAUCCAACUAUCUCUAAUGUGGUCCAAGAUUUUUAGAGAAAGUAAGUUCAAGACAAACUCAUGAUGCUCAUGAUGAAUGUGAUGUGGAUUGAGCGAAGUUGUAGUUAGAUUAGAUUGUAAAUUUUAGUUUAGUGAACUUGGGAAAAUAAAUCUAUGCUCAUUGAUAUUGUACUUUGGAUGUUGAUAUAUAAUUUUGGUUAGUAAUCAUGUGUAAAUUUGCAGAUUUGAAUUUUUUUUGUGUCAUGGAAAAGAUACAAGGACGUUUUUUCUU